AGAGUGAUUAAGAAUACAUGCUCUGAAGCAACACUGAAUGUGAAUUUCUACUCUAUCACCUGCUAGAUUUGUGAACGUGGAUUUUAAAAAGAACAUUUGACCUGAUGUCAGCAACAAUAUUAGAGGUUCUGAAGGAAAAGAAUAAAUCUAAAUCUAAGGGUAAUAAAGAGAGGUUAUGGUAAAGACAGUAUUUGAGUUGUAUUUAAAUGUAUGAAAAUAUUUCAGUAUUCGGAAUUGUAUACAAAAGGGCACUUUAGAUGAAGAGACUACCAGCCACCAUCAAUGAAGUCACA